rnacentral:rRNA from 1 species
CCCUUAGAGUUUGAUCCUGGCUCAGGAUGAACGCUAGCUACAGGCUUAACACAUGCAAGUCGAGGGGCAGCAUUUCAGUUUGCUUGCAAACUGGAGAUGGCGACCGGCGCACGGGUGAGUAACACGUAUCCAACCUGCCGAUAACUCGGGGAUAGCCUUUCGAAAGAAAGAUUAAUACCCGAUAGUAUAAUGAAACCGCAUGGUCUUAUUAUUAAAGAAUUUCGGUUAUCGAUGGGGAUGCGUUCCAUUAGGCAGUUGGUGAGGUAACGGCUCACCAAACCUUCGAUGGAUAGGGGUUCUGAGAGGAAGGUCCCCCACAUUGGAACUGAGACACGGUCCAAACUCCUACGGGAGGCAGCAGUGAGGAAUAUUGGUCAAUGGGCGCAGGCCUGAACCAGCCAAGUAGCGUGAAGGAUGACUGCCCUAUGGGUUGUAAACUUCUUUUAUAGGGAAUAAA